GGUGCAGGCAGCGGGCAGUCACAGCCCUGAGGACCUGAGAGAGGACGGCACGGCACCUGCAGAACCUGGAACCUGAACUCCAGGACCUGCAGAGACCUCCAACACCUCCAGACCUGCAGAGACCUCCAACACCUCCAGACCUACAGGAUCCACAAAUCCAGACCUACAGGAUCCACAAAUCCAGACCUAUAGGAUCCCCAGAUCCAGACCUGCAGGAUGGUGUCCCUCUGCCAGAGCAGAUCCGAGUCCAGACCUUCUCCUCUGAAGCGUCUCUGCCUGUGGCUGCACCGCUCUUCAUCCCCUCCUCCUCCUCCUCCCCCUGCUCUCCCCCUGCCUGUGGCCAGUGCUCAGCCUGUGUGUGUGGUGAGUCGGCGCCCCCUGCUGGUGCUGCUGCUGCUGUGCAGUUUGCUGCUGAUGCUGCUGCUGCUGCUGUGGAACUACCACUGUCUGUUCAUCUCCCAGCUCUGCUCGCCGCCGGGGGGCGAGGAGGACGAGGAGGAGCAGGGCGACGCCCUGUGGAGACACUGAUGGACCACAUGAACCACUUCAAACAUCACAUGAGUUAAGAUAAGAUAAGAUAAGAUAAGAUAAGAUAAGAUAAGAGGCACCUUUAUUGAUCCCCUGUAGGGGAAACUGCAGUGUGCAGCGUGUGUGUGUGCACAUGCUGCUGCUUCCUGUUUAUCCACUGCCUUCAUUGCAGGUCCAGUCUGUGGCCUGCGGCUCUGCUCUAUUAAAAUCAACUUUAAUCAUAAAAAGUCAAAAUCAAAAGCAGGUCAGUGCGGCUCUGGGCUGGGAGAGUUUGUUCCUGUCCGUCGACCGACAACCAGGAAGAGCUGAUUUAUAAAGUUUGAUAUCAGCUGAGUUGAAUAAAGCAAACACAAAAUGACUGCUAAUGAAUUCUGAAUGUUACUGACGUGCUCUCUGUUCUCUGUUGGUUAGAAGCUGCAGAGUUUUGAACGAGCUGAAAUCUCUCAGGGUUUGUCUUUUCUUUUCUUUUCUUUUCUGGAGGCCUGUAGAAAGUGCAUGACAGUAAUCGACUCGGCUUGAGAUCGAGGCAUGAGUCCGUUUUUCAGCAUCUUGUUGAGGUAUAAGUGGCUGUACUUUAGCUAUGUUUCUAAGGUGGCAGAAUUAUAUUUUUUCCACCUUGAUAAUGUUUGACUUGAAGUUUCAAUGUGAAUCUAAAAUAACACCAUGACCCGGAUUAUUCAAAUUUAAUCCAGGGAGUUAUUUCCCAAGAUUUUUAAACAUUUCUCUUUCUGUUUUAGAGUUGACUAGCAGGAUUUCACUUUUGUUCUGGUUUAAGAAAUUUGACAAAUUUUUGCUCGUCCAUUUAUUUAUUGCCAAAAGACAAGCGGUGAUGGAGUCUAAAGCGGCAGCAUCGCGUGGCUCAGCUGUGACGUGCAGUCGGGUGUCACAGAAACUGACAUCACCAAGGCAGCUUGUGGAGUGAGAAUAACAGCGGGCCGAGGCAGGUGCCUUGUGGAACCCCAAACUGGCGUGGUGUUUCUCCAAGACUGACGUCAGACUGUCUCCCUUUGAAUUUUUCAGCCAGUUUCACACGCAGUCAGAAAGACCAGAAUGAAAACACACUGAGAGCUUCUUCAGUCUGAAGUCGCUGAUUAAGAGCGACUUCAGUUCUGCGGUUUGUUCUGAAGCCGGACUGAAAUUCCUCCAGAUGUUGUUUUCUUUUUAUUUGCACUGAAGCCAUCUUUUCAAUAAAACAAGUAAAACAGGGAGAGAAAUAAAACCCAGUAAAUAAGAUGGAAAAUAAAACCCACCUGAUACAAAGCUCAGUUUGUGUAAUACAGGUGAAUUUUCUCAGGGUUACGUCAUUGUUCCAGGGUUUGUUGACGUCAUCUGUCUUUACAUCAACAGUUCAAAAUCUGACAGAUUUGUCCAGAUGUGAUCUGAAAAACUUUUUUGACUUUUUGUGGAUCUUUUGACUUUGUUGGAUUUGCUCAUUUGAAUAUGUUAAUAAAAUAAAAGUCACCCUA